GAUCACCCAACCUUGAUGAGCUGGAAGGGGUAUCUGUUGAGUCUCCUCUUGGAUUUCAAAUCUCCCUGAUUUUUUGGUUUGAGAUCCAUACUAUAUUCAAAUGACCUGACUUCAUGCUCAAGGGGGAUUAAAGUUCUACUUUAAACCUUUAAGAGGAAAUCUCUGAAGAAAUCGUGGAUGGAAAUCCUGGCCAGUUACAUUCACUGAACCUUGAAACAAUUGUUACAAGAAACUCAACACGCCUGACUCAGGGUUACUGUUCAUUCUUCUGGAAGCUGCAGAGAAAGGGAACCUGGAAACCUGAGUUUUGCUCUUGCUGCUUAGACUGGAGUGCAAUGGCAUGAUCUCAGCUCACCGCAACCUCUGCCUCCUGGAUUCAAAUGAUUCUCCCGCCUCAGCCUCCCGAGUAGCUGGAAUUGCAGGCAUGUACCACCAUGCCUGGCUAAUUUUGUAUUUUUAGUAGAGACAGGGUUUCUCCAUGUUGGUCAAGCUGGUCUUCAACUCCCGACCUUAGGUGAUCCACCUGCCUCAGCCUCCCAAAGUGCUGGGAUUACAGGCGUGAGCCACUGCACCCGGCAAUACUAAUGGUUUAUCCAAGUAUCUGCUUAUCUGAAAUUCAAAUAUCACUGAGCUUAGCAUUUUCAACAAUGUAGAUGAUCAUAGAAGACAUUAUGCUAAUUGAAAGAAGCCAGUCACAGAAGGACAAAUACUGCAUGAUUCUACUUACCUGACUUAUCUUAAAUAGUCGAAAUCGUUGAAGCAGAGAAUAGACUGGUGGUUGCCAGGGGCUGAAGGGAAGGAGGAAAUGUGGAAUUGUUGCACAACUGGUAUAAAGUUUCAGUUAUACAAUGUGACUAAGUUUUCAAGCUCUGCUAUACAACAUUGUACUUAUAGUUAACAAUAUGGUAUUAUGUACCUUAAAAUAUAAAGAGAAUAGAUCUAUUGUUGAGUAUUCUUACCACAAACAAACCAAAAACUUACAGAAGAACACAAGAACAUUUUUGUAGGUGAUAAAUAGGUUGAGUAGCUUGAUUGUGGUGAUAUAGUGAGUAUAUGGUAUAUGCAUAUGUCCAAACUCUUCAAAAUGCAUAUAUUAAAUAUGUACAAUUUUCAUAUAUUAACUAUAUACUAAAAGCUUAUAUAUAUAAAUAUAGCUUAAGAAAAAUAUUGCAUUUCUAAGUUUUGUUAGAAAAAUUUCAAUUACUCAUAGAGGUACUAGUUUCACUCUUAAUUAUGUGCAGUGUAUUUUAUUAUCCAUAGGAUACUAUUGGAGGCUCACCAACUCUAAAUUGUUCAUGCAUAGUUCCUAUCACUACCAUUUUCAAAUACCAAGUAGAAAAGACCUACAUGAGUGAUGUAUUAAACAAAGAAAUAAACAAUCCACAAACAUUUCUUGAGUAUCUAUUAUAGAAACAGCAUCCAAGGAAAUAAUUGGAUAAAGAAUAGGAAAGGUUUUUGUUUGUCGGUUUGUUUUUAUCUUCCGGAUACAUAAUAAAUUACUUGUCAGUUUUCUGUCAAGAAAUCUAUUAAGCCAAAAGGUUGUAAGAAUGCACUGAGUUGGUUGUGAGGGUGGUAGCAAAUAAUCUUACAAGAAAAAUUUUAAGACAAAAUAGAAAGAAUGAAUGGCAAAUUUACAAAUUUAGAGAUUGCUUAAGAUUUGUUCCAAUAAUGAAUAAAUAAAAGUAAAUUAAAAUGAAAGUUUAAAAACAAAACAAAUUUAACUGGUUACACUGUUUUAUUUUUUUCUCCUAAUUCUGGCAACCCUAUGCCCAUUAAUAGGAAAAUUUGAUAUUUUUGUGCAUUGUAUCACUACAAACGAAUAAAAAGAAUAAACUAUUGAUAUAUUCAAUAACACAAAUAAAUCUCAAAAUAAUUAUUGAGUGAAAAAAGCCAGAGAAAAAUCAAUGGUAGUAUAAUUCUAUUUACAUAAAAUUCUAUGAAAUGAAAAGUAAUGGACAGUGACAGAAAGCAGAUUAGUGGUUGCCAAGGAAUGGGAGAAGGGGCAUAGUGCAGGUGCAGAUAGUUAUUACAAGGAGAAAAAAAAUUGGGGGGUUAUUGGUAUGUUCAUUAUCUCAAUUGUGGUGCUGAUUUUCACAGGUGUAUACCUAUGUUUAAACUCAUCAAAUUAUACAUUUUAAAUGAAUGCACAUUAUUUUAUGGCAAUAGUCUCUUAAAGUUAGUUUUAAGUAAAUAAAAAUUCAAAAAGAAGAAAAUAAA
rnacentral:lncRNA from 1 species